CUAAUACCGCAUAAGCGCACAAGAGGGCAUCCUCAGGUGUGAAAAGAUUUAUCGGUAUGAGAUGGUUCCGCGUCUGAUUAGCCAGUUGGCGGGGUAACGGCCCACCAAAGCGACGAUCAGUAGCCGGCCUGAGAGGGCGGACGGCCACAUUGGGACUGAGACACGGCCCAGACUCCUACGGGAGGCAGCAGUGGGGGAUAUUGCACAAUGGAGGGAACUCUGAUGCAGCGACGCCGCGUGGGUGAAGAAGUUAUUCGUAAUGUAAAGCCCUAUCAGCAGGGAAGAUAAUGACGGUACCUGACUAAGAAGCCCCGGCUAACUACGUGCCAGCAGCCGCGGUAAUACGUAGGGGGCGAGCGUUAUCCGGAUUUACUGGGUGUAAAGGGAGCGCAGACGGGACAGCAAGCCAGAUGUGGAAGCCCCGGGCAUAACCCGGGGAGUGCAUUUGGAACUGUUGACCUUGAGUGCCGGAGGGGUAAGCGGAAUUCCCAGUGUAGCGGUGAAAUGCGUAGAUAUUGGGAAGAACACCGGUGGCGAAGGCGGCUUACUGGACGGUAACUGACGUUGAGGCUCGAAAGCG
rnacentral:rRNA from 1 species